UGUGGUAUCCAUGACGACUGGCUAAGUAUCUGAAGCUGUUCCUCUCCUUUGCAGGAGAACAAAAAUGGGCUAAUGAAUUUCAGUACAGUAUACAAGGACCCACUUUCUAGACCUAGCCCUGCCACAAACAGUACGAUUAAGGAUUCCUCUUACCUGCCCCGCUGCCUGCAAGUGCUGGGCCAUACUGGAUGUGAGGAUGACUUGGCACAAGCGGAGAGCUGGAAGGAGAAUCUGCCGGUACCGAUCCACCGGAGUAGGGAUGAACAUGGGGGGGUCUCUCAUGCCAAACACGCUUCAUUUAUUUCACCAAAGGAGAAGAGAGCAACAGUCCAAAAGUUAGGUGCAUUCUAAUAAUCCCCAACCAUGACCAUGCAAACAUGUCACAGGUGGCUAAGAUGCAAAGCUAAUAAUGAGUAGCCACAUAUACAUUUAGUAAAAAUGGAAUUAUUUGAAUUCUGCUAAAUCAUAGUAAAAUAAGUGUGAGUA